GGCUUUCCAACAGCGGAUUUCUUCAUCCUUGCAGUCUCUGACCCAUGAUGGAACACUGAGGCCCAUCUGCUGGACAGAGCUUCCUGUGCUACUGACUACUGGUACUGCAGUGGUUUAAACACCUCAACUUGCGAUGCUCACAGAAUCUGUUCAUGGUUUGUGAUGAACUGGUGGCAGUGUUUAAUAUCCAUUCUUUUAAUACGAAUUCACAGUAAUAUGACAUAAACACAGUCUCUAAGGUACAGCAUAAACCUGCAUCUCUACCCGUCAGCGGUGUCACUAGACCUGCCUGUCUGUCUGGGAUGCUGCCGAUGAGUCCCAAGAGUGAGCCGAUUGUGGUAACUGUUGGUCCUUCAACACUGUGAUCAUCCUUUACAGCAAGAAACGAAACAGGUUACUAACAUUUCUAACAGCUACUUUGACAUUGUAAAGCUACUCAAGAGAAUCACUCCUGCCAAAAUGUAUGCUUUCUGCCCAAGAUGGAAAAUACGUUUAAUAUUUGUGACCUCGUGAAUGUGACCAGCACAUCUACAUUAGGAGCUGAUAGGAAGUAUAUAUGCUAGAGUGGCAUUUACAUACUUUCAUAUAAAGCAGAUUUUAAAAAUAUAAAUGAAGUAACUUCAAGUUUUCAAAACUUGUGUAAUUCAGCUUAAAGUAUAUCAGAUAUUUCUGGAAGAUGACCAAAAAAAUUCUUUUAAGUAUAGAAGAGAAUUUUUCAUCAAAAAUACUAUUUGAUUUCACACUUUCAGGAAGGUAAUGAGAGGUCUUGAUGGCUGAGGUCUCCAGAAAUUGAAGAAAAGGGAAAUGUUUCUAUCUCGGGAGCCACGUCCUUAUGUGUAUAAAGCUGAAUCGGGUACCACGUCCUUAUGGAUGUAAAGCUGAGUUGACUGGAAUACCAGUGGCAUGUGCGGUUCUGGUUAACUGAAGAUUCACUAGCAAAUACUCAGUAGUUACUAUUA
rnacentral:lncRNA from 1 species